UACUUCAGAAGUUAGGAAGUCAGAAAUUUCUUUUGAAAAUAUACUAAAAAUAAAUGUUUCCAUAGUUUUAAAAUCCUGCUUUUUAUUUUUGGCUGAAAAUAUUCCCCAAAUUAGAUUUGAAUAUACAUAUAAUUGCCAUACUUCCAAAAUAUCAUUUUCUGAAAAGCAAUCUUAUUUCCUUGAAUACAACUUAUUGACUCUGAACAUGACUACUCGAUUCCUCAGGCUGAAUUCUCUCUCUCGUGGUUCACUUGUAGUUAUAGCUCUGUAGAAACACUUUGAAUUGUACGUUUAAAAGGAGCAGGUCAACCUGUGCUCUGAGACUGAUUGAACUGCACAGUCCCUAUCACAGUUUCAGGGCUAAUAUCAACCUAAAAGAUGCAUUUCAAGACGUACAAACUUUUUUAAUUUGCAGGCACAAUUGCACUCCCAUUCAAGAUAAACCAAUUGCUCUUAAUGUCUGUACUAGUUCACUUGAAUUCUAAGUAGAUAACAUUGGGAGAAAAUAGUAGAAAGGAAAAAAGACAAAUAAAUCCCAUCUUACACAUAUGCACUUAUUUUUCAUCCCUCUUUCUUACAGGCAAAAUUGCUACUGCAGAAAUUACUAUGGCAAGAAACCUCAUCAAUUGAAACUUAACAGAAUCCUACUUAGUAGACCAUUUAUGGGAAGCAAAUACAUUACUCUUACUGUAUGCACAAUAAAAUGGGAACUAAAUCAUAGGAUGUCCAUACAUCACUGUAUAUACCAACAAGGAUGAUCUGACAAGGCAAAUGACAAGACAGUAAAAAUUUAAUUCAUGAAGCAAUGGUGAUUAUGAUUUUGAUAGUAGUAGAUGGAAAAAAAAUUGAGAGAUUAAAAACUGACAGAAACAGCACAAUAGCAUAACAGCAAUCAUUGACUACCAACAAAGGGGAUGUCCAAUAGAGUUCUUAGUACACAAAAGAGAUUUUCUUGGAGAAAUGUAAUAAAAACAUCAGCACAGCUGAGAUGAUGUAUUUGCUGCCAUAUUUAUUUUUCAUCAGUAAUGUCCUUUAUAUAUAUAUCAUUAUUAUUAAAAGCAUAAUUGAGCCUGAUGGUUGGAGCCAUGCUUCAGUCCUGAUUUUAUUUAUACUAAUAUUUAAAAGAGUUACAGUAUUCUGGUGGCAGAGAUAUAUACAUUUCAAGUUAAUAACCUCUUUAAGCUUGAUUGUAUAUUCUUCUUGCAUAAUCCAAGGAAAUGGGUCACCCACACUGAAAAGUUCAAAUAACAAAAGUUUUUGGAGUUCCAUAAUGGUGAAAGUUCUUAAUUUCUAUUUUAUUUACUUGGUAACUGAGGCACUUCUGGAAUACAUUUAACAUAUUUGUUGUUCAAAUUUUCAUAAAAAUGCCUUUGAUCACAUUGAUUUUAAAACUGUUAAGUUUGUAUUUAAAACUGGAUAAUAUUCUGGCUAGUAUAAUAUGUAAACUAGUAAUUUUGUUUUGUAUUCUCUGUAUAAAGUGUUUUAUAUUAUACAGUAGCUAAGUUAAUUGCACUAUUGUACAUGCAAUGCGGCUUUUUUUUUUUAGGUUAUUCAAGGAAUUCCUGGGAAUGUAGUUUAAUGCAAUAAUUUUUUUUUUCCAAUAAAAAGGCUUACUGGGAUAAAGAGUGUCAGUCAUGUAUUUUUAAUGUAAAGCAUACCAAAAGGCAGCAACUUAAAAAAAUGCAGAAUGAUGCAAACAUAUUCUGUAUUUUAAUCUGAGAUUUGAAAUGCAUUUAAUUCAUCCCUGAAAUUUCUUAGAAUGUUUCCUAAAGAUUUUAGUAUGUGUUACAAAAGUGGGUUGUUUAAAUUGAACUGAAAAUAAAUAU
ensembl:lncRNA